GCAUUUUUGUAGCAAUACGGGAAUGCUAGUGGCGUAAGGGCGAGUAACACGUGGGUAACGUAUCUUGGCGCUGGGGAUAACUCCCCGAAAGGGGGGCUAAUACCGAAUGUGGACAUCCUGUGCAAACGGGAUGUCCAAAGGUGGGGAUCCGCAAGGACCUACCGCGCGAAGAGCGGCCCGCGUCCUAUCAGCUAGUUGGUGGGGUAAUGGCCUACCAAGGCGACGACGGGUAGCCGACCUGAGAGGGUGAUCGGCCACACUUGGUCGCGACACGGGCAAGACUCCUACGGAAGUCGNAUGGAGUCGAUCU
rnacentral:sRNA from 1 species